ensembl:snRNA U1 U1 spliceosomal RNA
AUACUUACCUGGCAGGGGAGAUCCCAUGAUCCCGAAGGUGGUUUUCCCAGGGUGAGGCUCAUCCAUUGCACUGCGGGUGUGCUGACCCCUGCGAUUUCCCCAAAUGCGGGAAACUCGACUGCAUAAUUUGUGGUAGAAACCACCAUGGUCGGGGACCUCCUGGACU